AUGCCUGUUAUUCAGCAACUUCAACAUCCAUCUUGUCAGCAAGCAGGUAAUGGAGUAAUUUUCUCCUUACUCCCUCAUCUUUCACGCAAGCUGAAUGAAUGUAUUUCUUACAGAGUGAAACAGCUCCAUGUGAGAGGCUGCUGCAUCCCUCCCUCCCUGCUGGUACACCCCCGAACGCUCCAGGGCAAGGCACUUCCAGAAAUGUUGGUUCAGAUAUCAUCAGCCAGAAAAGGCAGCAGAUCCCACACAACCAGGGUACCCUAACCACCAGUCUAUUUAAAAUGAGAUUACCAAGCUUGAGCUCCCUGAGUGCCUGGCUGUGGGCUGAGCAAACACAGCAAAACUGAGAAGAGACAAACCAGCUUUAUUUAGUGAGUUUCUAACACGAAGAAGAGAGAAACCAGCUUUAUUUGGUGAGUUUCUAAUGUUAAUGUAAUUUGGAUCAAAUAUUGUUAAGAGAACCCAAGCUAUUGGCAGGACAAGUCUUGCAGAAGAUGGUUUUGUCACCAAAUAAUUUGCCAGGUUCUGGUCAUUUUUGGUAACAAAACUGGACCUGCCAGCUUCUGACCAAACUGGCAAUAAUGAGCAACUAACCCAAGGCCUGAGGGUGGCUAAAAGUUGUCUUCCCCAAGGAUGUAAAGUACAGUUUUUCUUAAAAGUGUUUUAUUUUGUUUUUAAUAUCUUACAUGCAUUUUCAUCAAUCCAGAUUCAGAAUUUUUUCUUAAGAGGUCUGAAUGAAUGCUGCACCUGAAAAAGGUACUUGUUAACUUUUACAGGCUCUUAAUAAUAUUCUACUCAAAGGAGCAGCCACCACAAACAGGACUUGCACAAGUUAUAGAGCAGUGUUUAAAGCUACCCUGAUGGUUUGCAUUGAUUGUGCAACCCAUUCAAAUCUACAGAAGAUCUGGGCUCUUUAGCGAUUUCUGACUAAAGUCAACCACAGUAGACCAAAUUUCAGAUGCCAAAAGUCAAACCACAGCCAGACUUGUGAACAGUAAGUACAGUACACAGAGAAGGAUUUUGGAAUGUUGUUUUAGUCAACUUUUCACAGUAGUGGAAGUGAAGUUACCAUU
rnacentral:lncRNA from 1 species